rnacentral:rRNA from 1 species
UACGAAGGGGGCUAGCGUUGUUCGGAAUUACUGGGCGUAAAGGGCGCGUAGGCGGUGUGUCAAGUCAGGCGUGAAAGCCCCGGGCUCAACCUGGGAACAGCGCUUGAGACUGGCACGCUCGAGUUCGGGAGAGGAUGGUGGAAUUCCCAGUGUAGAGGUGAAAUUCGUAGAUAUCUGGAGGAAUACCGGUGGCGAAGGCGGCAUCCUGGACCGACAUUGACGCUGAGGAGCGAAAGCUAGGGGAGCAAAACGGG